UACGGAGGGUGCAAGCGUUAUCCGGAUUCACUGGGUUUAAAGGGUGCGUAGGCGGGUUGGUAAGUCCGUGGUGAAAUCCCCAAGCUUAACUUGGGAACUGCCGUGGAUACUAUCAAUCUUGAAUAUCGUGGAGGUAAGCGGAAUAUGUCAUGUAGCGGUGAAAUGCUUAGAUAUGACAUAGAACACCAAUUGCGUAGGCAGCUUACUACACGAUCAUUGACGCUGAGGCACGAAAGCGUGGGGGAGCGAACAGG
rnacentral:rRNA from 1 species